UCCAGACUCCUACGGGAGGCAGCAGUGGGGAAUAUUGGGCAAUGGGCGCAAGCCUGACCCAGCAACGCCGCGUGAAGGAAGAAGGCUUUCGGGUUGUAAACUUCUUUUAAGAGGGAAGAGUAGAAGACGGUACCUCUUGAAUAAGCCACGGCUAACUACGUGCCAGCAGCCGCGGUAAUACGUAGGUGGCAAGCGUUGUCCGGAAUGACUGGGCGUAAAGGGUGCGUAGGCGGUGUAGCAAGUUAGAAGUGAAAUACCUAGAGCUUAACUCAGGUGCUGCUUCUAAAACUGCUAUACUUGAGUGCAGUAGAGGAAAGUGGAAUUCCUAGUGUAGCGGUGGAAUGCGUAGAUAUUAGGAGGAACAUCAGUGGCGAAGGCGACUUUCUGGACUGUAACUGACACUGAGGCACGAAAGUGUGGGGAGCAAACAGGAUUAGAUACCCGGGUA
rnacentral:rRNA from 1 species